ACCCUCAAGGAGACUUGGCGGCAAUGGCAGAAUGCUGCUGCACGCUUCCCUCCGGUUGUCGCCCUGCCCAGAAAGGCCAGCAGCUUGGAUUCCUGCCCAGAAACUGUGUUGGCCCCCUUCACACCUCUGCAACACCCGCUGCUCCAGCAGGAGGAUGUGAUUCUUUAGAAUAUGGUGGGGAGGUGACCCCAGGCCCUGCCUUGCUGGGAUAGAUGUUCUAGUGGCACCAGCUAGUCACCUCCCAGAAGAAACUCUGUAUAUUUCCCCCAGGUUUCUGAUGCCAUCAGAAGGGCUCGGGAGUGGGGUUUGUCACACAUUCCUGUUAACAAGUAACUGUCACUGGGACCAAGGCCUGGGUGCUUACAUAUUCCUUCGUGUCUUCAUCUCACUGACCUGUGUGGACCUCAUCACUUUGACUCUGCCUUCUUGGAAAGGCCCUGUCACUCCACAGAUGUCUGGCCAGCUUCAAGGCAGAAGGAGAAACAAGAAAAGCUCUUUUAACAGCAGCACGAACAAGAGAAAUGACUAACCAUACUAAAAGACUGGUAGCAGCAGCAGCCAGACAGGCCUCACCUUAAGGACUUGGGCUGCCAGAGCAAAUUCAGCAGAGUGAGCAGUGCUUACUUGGCCCUCCCACUCACACAGCUCAGUUCUGUGCCCACAUCACCUUUAGGGAAGAAAUCAGCGUUCUAACCAGGGACACUACUUCAGGAGUCCUCCACAGCAAGUCUGCCAUCUGUCACUUUAUGUAGAUCAGGGUUCUGGGCUUCCUCCCUGAAGUUCUCAGAAGCAACUCUCAGGAUGCACAGCUAAUCUAGUAUUGUCUAGUAUUGUCUCUCGGUUGCACCUGACUCUCAUUCUCUCCCCAGUAAGGUGUUGGCAAGCUCAGCAUCCGGGUUCCACUCUCACACUGUCUGGCAUUUCUGUGUCCGAGAAGUCCUACACUGACCAGGCUCCCUUGUUGCCUGGAGUAUGACGUAAUCAGAAAAUAGACGCAUAAAUGUGCACAUGCGUAUAUAUUUGCUUGUGAAAUUAAAGUCACCUCUCGCCUCUGCUUUCCUGAUCAUUUGUUAGAGACAUGGAUCAGGAAUUUUUUAAAAUUAUUAUUCUUUCUCUAAACUAUUUGCAUUGUGUUCAUAAACCCAUUUUAGAAGUUUGAACAGCAAGCUUUUCCUGAUUUUAAAAACACAAAGAUGCUUUCAAUGAACUAUUCUGUGAUUUUUUUUUAAAGUCCCCAAAUGUGUACUUAGCCUUCUGUUAUUCUUUAUUCUUUAAGAAGUGUUGGCUUCCACUGACCAUAUGAAGGCCACAAAUUAAAUGGUUGUGUUAAUCCAACAUGUAAAAAAAAAUUUUGGUGGGGCCCAGUGGCUCACGCCUGUAAUCCCAACACUUUGGGAGGCUGAGGCAGGAGGAUCACUUGAGCCCAGGAGAUUGACGUGCAGUGAACUAUGAUUGCGUCCCUGCACUCCAGCCUGGAUGACAGAGUGAGACCCCUAUCUCUUAAGAAAUAAAAAAUAAUAAAGAUUUGAACCUGUUUCA